GGUGGUAUUGCUCAGUGGUAGAGCAUAUGCUUAGCAUGCACAAGAUCCUGGGUUCAAUCCCCAGUACCUCCA
rnacentral:tRNA from 1 species